rnacentral:tRNA from 1 species
GCGCCGGUGGUGUAAUGGCGUAGAGCAUUCCCGCCCGGUUAGAGGGAGGUGCGGGUUCGAGUCCCGCCUGACGCU